CGUAGUUGCAGCACGUAAAGGGGAGGGAAGAACGAAAACUUCACCGAACCCUUACGGCAAUCUUUCGUACGCCGUAACUUCUCCUUCCGAGCUCCAAUUGCCGCACCGUUUGCGGCCACGCGUCUACCGCAUCGAGCUCUACAUUUCUACCGGAACAAUUUUACUGGAUCCAAUUAGCUUGAGGAAAAUGUUCACUCUUGCUUAUGUGAAGCUUGGGUAAGGUUGUGAAUAAAUAAUUGGAGCUUGAAAUUGUGAAUACUGGAACUUGGAGGAAGCGGAUUAGUUGAGUUUUGAGUGGCUGUCUUGGUUUUGAAUAAAUAGCUUUGAUCAUUACAUGGAAAUCGGCCAAGAUGCAAGUCGAGAGGCAUCUCGUUAGGCGUCUGGACUCUUGAAGCGGAGUGGUUACUGGGUUAUUUUGUUAUGCUAUGAUGUAUAUAUAUGUACUUAGCUAUCUCUCCACAUAACUUAUUCUUUUUGAUCCUCCUAGAGGUGUAUGGAGAGGCAGGAUUUUGUUUAUGUACAUUUGGGUUUUGGAUAUGUAUAUAUAUGUAUAUAUGUGUGUAUAUUCUCCGGCCAGUCUUGACUUCGCAGGCUGAGUCAGGAGCUCGUUAUUUUGUAUCUUUGACUCUCUGUUCCU